rnacentral:piRNA from 1 species
UAGACCUAACAGGACCUCAGAGAAAACA